UACAGAGGUGGCAAGCGUUGUUCGGAAUUACUGGGCGUAAAGGGCGCGCAGGCGGCUGCUCAAGUCAGGCGUGAAAGGCCUGGGCUCAACCCGGGAAUUGCGCUUGAGACUGGGCUGGCUUGAGUGCGGGAGAGGAUGGUGGAAUUCCCAGUGUAGAGGUGAAAUUCGUAGAUAUCGGGAGGAACACCGGUGGCGAAGGCGGCGACCUGGGUCGAGACUGACGCUGAGGCGCGAAAGCGUGGGGAGCAAACAGG
rnacentral:rRNA from 1 species